GAUGAACGCUGGCGGCGUGCCUAAUACAUGCAAGUCGAGCGAACAGACGAGGAGCUUGCUCCUCUGACGUUAGCGGCGGACGGGUGAGUACCACGUGGAUAACCUACCUAUUAGACUGGGAUAACUUCGGGAAACCGGAGCUACUACCGGAUAAUAUAUUGAACCGCAUUGUUCACUAGUGAAAGACGGUUUUGCUGUCACUUAUAGAUGGAUCCGCGCCGCAUUAGCUAGUUGGUAAGGUAACUGCUUACCAAAGCAACGAUGCAUAGCCGACCUGAGCGGGUGGUCGGCCACACUGGAAGAGAGACACGGUCCAGACACCUACGGGAGGCAGCAGUAGGGAAUCUUCCGCAAGGGGGGAAAGCCGGACAGAGCAAAGCCGCGGGAGUGAUGAAGGACUUCGGAUCGUAAAACGCUGUUAGUAGGGAAGAACAAAUGUGUAAGUAACUGUGCACAUCUUGACGGUACCUAAACAGAAAGCCACGGCUAACUACGUG
rnacentral:rRNA from 1 species